UGGAUGAGUGGCGAACGGGUGAGUAACACGUGAGUAACCUGCCCCUUCUUUGGGAUAACGCCCGGAAACGGGUGCUAAUACUGGAUAUUCACUGAUCUUCGCAUGGGGGUUGGUGGAAAGGGUUUUUUCUGGUGGGGGAUGGGCUCGCGGCCUAUCAGCUUGUUGGUGGGGUGAUGGCCUACCAAGGCUUUGACGGGUAGCCGGCCUGAGAGGGUGACCGGUCACAUUGGGACUGAGAUACGGCCCAG
rnacentral:rRNA from 1 species